rnacentral:rRNA from 1 species
AACGAACGCUGGUGGCAGGCCUAACACAUGCAAGUCGAGCGAACCUUCGGGUUAGCGGCGGACGGGUUAGUAACGCGUGGGAACGUGCCCUUCUCUACGGAAUAGCCCAGGGAAACUUGGAGUAAUACCGUAUACGCCCUUUGGGGGAAAGAUUUAUCGGAGAAGGAUCGGCCCGCGUUGGAUUAGGUAGUUGGUGGGGUAAUGGCCUACCAAGCCGACGAUCCAUAGCUGGUUUGAGAGGAUGAUCAGCAACACUGGGACUGAGACACGGCCCAGACUCCUACGGGAGGCAGCAGUGGGGAAUCUUAGACAAUGGGGGAAACCCUGAUCUAGCCAUGCCGCGUGAGUGAUGAAGGCCUUAGGGUUGUAAAGCUCUUUCAGCUGGGAAGAUAAUGACGGUACCAGCAGAAGAAGCCCCGGCUAACUCCGUGCCAGCCGCCGCCGUAACAC